UGGGGGGUCACUCCUGACAUGAACUUCGGCUGGGAGGUAUUUUAUACCCAACACCAGUCCCCUUACUUUCGAGUUCGAGUUUCGAAUGAAGGAAGUACAGAAAAAUUUUUACAGCCGAAGUUACCCCCUUGAAUCCUGUGCGCGACCGCCCUCGAAAAUCCAGACAUUUAAUGCGCGCGUGCUGGAGUCUUUUCAAAUCGGAGCGAUCCGAAGAGACCUUUCGGGAUUCUCGCUGGAGCGUUGUCCCAAGCGCCACACCAUAAUGAUCCCGCCGGCAAUCAGCUUUAUGCCACGGUGAGUGGGAUGCGUGGCGGGCAUUGGUUGACCUAGGGAUAUCC
rnacentral:lncRNA from 1 species